rnacentral:rRNA from 1 species
UACGGGAGGCAGCAGUGGGGAAUUUUGGACAAUGGGCGAAAGCCUGAUCCAGCCAUGCCGCGUGAGUGAUGAAGGCCCUAGGGUUGUAAAGCUCUUUCACCGGUGAAGAUAAUGACAGUACCGGGAGAAUAAGCUCCGGCUAACUCCGUGCCAGCAGCCGCGGUAAU